GAUGAAGAACGCAGCGAAAUGCGAUAAGUAGUGUGAAUUGCAGAAUUCAGUGAAUCAUCGAAUCUUUGAACGCACAUUGCGCCCUUUGGUAUUCCAUGGGGCAUGCCUGUUCGAGCGUCAUUUGUACCCUCAAGCUUUGCUUGGUGUUGGGCGUCUUGUCGUAUUACGACUCGCCUUAAAUACAUUGGCAGCCGGCACUUUGGCCUAGGAGCGCAGCACAUUUUGCGAUCGUAGCCCGUUGUACUGGCGUCCAUCAAGAACAUUUACCACGUUUGACCUCGGAUCAGGUAGGGAUACCCGCUGAACUUAAGCAUAUCAAUAAGCGGAGGA
rnacentral:misc_RNA from 1 species